GUGCCUCCCUGGCCGGUCAGAGUUCGAGCUAAUGGAAGCAUCCAGAGGAAAGCCCACCCUCACCUUUGCAGGAAUCAAGACAGAGAGAUCUCGGAAAUGAGUCAGAUCUUGACUUCAAGACACUCUGCAUCUUCAAAUUCAACACUUUAACUAGACAUUUCCCUUACUCUAAGGAAACUGAAUCCCAAAAUGAUUGCUAUCUUUACAUUCUUGGAACCUUAAAACAUACAUGAAGGCAUAAGCAAAAUGUAAUGAUGAGGUCUUAGCUGUAGACUGUAGCCUUUCCAAUGUUCAAUGUCCUAGCAGAAAAGCUAUAAGAACUUGCUUAACUUCCUUAAGAC
rnacentral:lncRNA from 1 species